rnacentral:rRNA from 1 species
UACGUAGGAGGCGAGCGUUGUCCGGAAUUACUGGGCGUAAAGAGCGCGUAGGUGGCGCGAUACGACCGGUGUGAAAUCCUCCGGCUCAACUGGAGGGGGUCACUGGUAACGGUCGUGCUUAAAGAGUGCAGGAGAGGGACGUGGAACUCCGGGAGUAGCGGUGAAAUGCGUAGAGACCCGGAGGAACACCAGUGGCGAAGGCGGCGUCCUGGCCUGCGACUGACGCUGUGGCGCGAAAGCUAGGGGAGCGAACGGG